UAUAUUUGGGCUUUUAUUAGGGAAAUAACACAACCUAAGGGAGUUGUUUUUAAGGACAAGUCUAAGAAAAAAAAGCUUCAUGGUAUGACACAAUAUGUGCUGUAUUAACUGGGGAGAGCCCUGUGGACAUCACUGGCUCUCAGCCUGGGAUCUGGCAGUCUUACAUCUGAUUUAAUUUUGACCUUCAUUUCCUGUAGGAAUGCAAAGGGAUUUUUCUUUCAUCCACUGGAACACCCGGAAAAGAAAUUACCCAUCAGUCAGGAAUGUUUAUUCCUUCAGCUCUGAGUCCAACAUGAAUCAAACUAUGACACAACUGGCUGCUUUUCUAUCUACUUUUAUGAUGAGAUUUGAUACUUUGCAGGUUUUCCACAGGCAGGUGACAGUGCUGAGGACUCGUUCUGCUGCGUUGCGACACCGGCAACAGGAGGCCCAGUGACCUGAGCUGGAUGCGGUUGGAGACACAUGAAGAAUUGAGAGGCUGAUCCCAGAGCUCCCUCCUGCUGUGGAUCCUGUCAUAAAUCUUUGUUGUGUUCAUGAUGCCACCUGUGCCUGUCCCAUGAUCUUUGUCAUACCAUUACCACAGAACUUGACAAAGGAGCGGCCUUUUGUAGAUCAUCCUUGUGGCUAUUUCUAAUUUACUGGCUCUACAGGCUCCGUCAUUCUCUGCCUGGCAUGAAGCAUUUACCUGCUCUGUAAACAAAUUCAUCCCAUUUCUACUGAUGGAGGAAGUUGCUGUUCAGCCACACCAUGGCAAAACAUGCUUU